rnacentral:rRNA from 1 species
GAUGAACGCUGACAGAAUGCUUAACACAUGCAAGUCAACUGUGGCGGACGGGUGAGUAACGCGUAAAGAACUUGCCUCACGGAUAGGGACAACAUUUGGAAACGAAUGCUAAUACCUGAUACUGUGAGAGAGCUUUGCGUCCCAUUAGCUAGUUGGAGAGGUAACGGCUCACCAAGGCGAGGAUGGGUAGCCGGCCUGGGAGGGGGAUCGGCCACAAGGGGAUGGAGACACGGACCUUACGCCUACGGGAGGCAGCAGUGGGGAAUAUUGAACAAUGUACCAAAGUCUGAUCCAGCAAUUCUGUGUGAACGAUGAAGUUUUCGGAAUGUAAAGUGCUUUCAGUUGAGAAGCGGUACCAACAGAAGAAGCGACGGCUAAAUACGUGCCAGCAGCCGCGGUAAUAC